rnacentral:lncRNA from 1 species
GAGACAACCAAUUCCAUGGGGUGUUACCUAACAAUAGUAGAGAGGGGUGCAAUCUUCAGUCAAUAGAUGUGAAUGGAAACCAAAUUGAAGGUAAACUACCUAGAUCACUAUCAUACUGCCAAGAUUUGGAGCUCCUGGAUGCUGGAAAUAAUCAGAUUGUUGAUUCUUUUCCAUUUUGGUUGGGUAAACUUCCAAAUCUCCGAGUCCUUGUCUUAAGAUCCAACAAAAUAAAUGGUACAAUAAGGGGUCUUAAAAGUGGUUACCAAAAUAGUGAUUAUUUCACAAGGUUGCAAAUAAUUGAUUUGGCCUCCAAUCAUUUAUCUGGCAACAUACAUUCAGAAUGGUUUGAACAUUUGCAAUCAAUGAUGAAUGUAACUGAUGACGACCAAAUAUUAGAGUAUCGUACGAAAGCAAGUAUAAAAUCGCUCUAUCAGGAUAAUACGGCUGUCACUUACAAAGGGAACACUCUUAUGUUCACUAAAAUCCUGACCACCUUCAAAGCAAUUGAUCUCUCAGACAACUCAUUUGGUGGUCCUAUUCCAAAGUCAAUGGGGGAAGCUUGCUUCACUACAUGGAUUUAACCUGUCCCACAAUGCCUUCACAGGACAAAUUCCAUCACAGCUUAGUUCUUUGACUCAGCUGGAGUCAUUGGAUCUCUCUUGGAACAAGCUCUCAGGGGAAAUCCCUCUACAGUUAACCUCUCUAACCUCUCUUGCUUCGUUGAUCUUUCAUACAACAACUUGACUGGAAGAAUACCGCAGGGCAACCAGUUUGGGUCAUUUAGCAGCAGCUCGUUUGAAGGCAAUGCCAACCUCUGUGGAAAGCCGUUGUCUAAACAAUGUGAUACUCCAGGCUCAACAUCUCGAAAUGCAUCAGCUACUUCAGAAACCAGCAGUUUCUGGCAGGACAGACUUGGCGUGAUCCUUUUGUUCUUCUUUUCUGGCUUGGGGUUCACAGUGGGCUUCAUAUUGGCGGUCUGGUUCCAAUCAUUCUUCCACAUAGAACGAUGGACUCACAAGCAUUGAUGACUGUUAGUAUACUGUAUACACUAUGUAUGGUGUUUAUCCACCCAAGGACAUGAUAUGUGUGUAUGUGUGUACUCGUAAUUAGUGACAGGUGAAGUCCAUUCUCUGUUGAUAAUAAUGCAUAAUUUUGUGUAUGUGAUUACCAAAAUAGUGGGGUAGUGGCGACAUCUAUAACUGUAUAAGAAAUGUGCUCUUUGCACUGACCUAUGCGCUGGCACAUUUCCUCGAACACCUGGUGCCCUGGUGGUGGUGAUGGAAGAAGAGCGCGACGACGAGGCAACGAGCAGACCGACGGACAGUCGGACACGCUGUUCCUGGGACAUCCCCAUGGCGACCCCAUUGAGAGCCGACUGCAAGAUCUCAAUAUCUGCAACCCUGGAUACCAUCAUCCUCUCUGCUUCGUCUCCGCCUCAUCCUCACCCCUGACCCCUAACCAUUCCGGCGAGGUCCAACCAAGAGGUGGUGGUUAUCUCGGAUUGGGAUGUACGGCGUGUGGGGGGAGCGGGAUUGGCAGAGUACUCCGAGUGGGAUGUGGUGGAGGAGAAGGACGACGAGGGGUGGAAAUCUCUCGGCAGCUGGCGGCGGCGGCGUAGGCGCGUAGUUACUCUAGGACGGCGCGCGUGUUGGGCAGGGGGUGUGUAGGCGGGAGAGAGAUCGAGAGAGUAUGACGCCCGCGGCGCACUACCUUCGGCUUCAAAGCAGAUGCGGAGAUGCAUGCUAGACCGGGCUCAGAGCCCGUCCGUUUUCAGCCGCUACUGCCUUCGAUCCGCUGUCUCACGUCUUCAAUUCGUACGUGUCGCCGUCGAAUUGGGAUGAAGAUAUAGACAAAUUUGAUAAUGUACCACGUCUUAGAGCAAGUUUAAUAGUAUGAGUCUCGCUCCGAUGCUUUUUACUUGAGUAGAAAUUAAUCCGUGCCGUUGAUCGUAUUUAAUCGUAGGGUUAAGAUCUAAUUCUACUCCCACUAGAUUUUAUUAGAGUAGAAAUGUGGAGGGCUAUAUUUGUUCAGAGAUAAUAAUUUGCGUAGGGGUAUUAUCGUAAUCUGUCAUUAUCUAACUGUUCACCCUCUCUCUAUCCUAUCCUAAUCGACACCAUUCCUCUCCAUUCGCCGUCGAAGACGAAGGCGAGCGUGUUUAUCGUCUGCGUGCCAGCGACGAACCGAUCGAUUUGGAGACAAUCGUCAGAUAUGUUGAUGAGAAAAAUGUUUACUAAUCUCUGAAGAUUAAUCUGUUCUUACUUAUGAUGACCAUCGUAUCGGAACGUCUUUGUGGAUGGUGCUGAUGACGGCGGCGUCGCUGGUGAAAACGCCGCCGCCGAACUACAUGCCAGCGGCGAGGAAGGCCGUCAGUCCAGCGCCGAGGACGAUGGCGAGCUACAGCACGCGGGCAGUAGUCACCGCCACCUUGUAGUGAUCCGCAAACGCGCUGGCAAGCAAGGCCUGAGGUUGAUUGAUCAAUUUAAGCAAAGUUAAUUAAGCAGCCAUGCAUAUAUCAUCGGAAUGUAGGCUAAGCUAGGUAGGUAGGUAGGUAGGUAGCUCACCUGGCCAGCGACGGCGAGGCCGUCGGCGAGGAGCGAUGUGGCGAGCCAGACCUAGGCGCAGAGCUGGAACGCCGCCAUGGCCGUCACGCCGUGGCGCGUCGCCAGCGACGCCGCCAGCGUCACGCAGAACGUCACGGCCACCACUCUCGUCCGGAUAUUAGGAGAUUACUUACCUGCCCUUUAAAAUAAACGGUCUAGAUUAAUUCUAUUCGGAGUAGAAUACUUCAAGUAUAUUGCACCAGAGCAUCUCUCUAAUAGUAUAGCCAACUACUAGCUCCAAAUCAUCUAUAGUCAAUUUAAUAGCCAAUUCAUACAAUAGUUACAUACUACACUAUUAAUAUCUGGUCCCACCUGUCAUACACACACUGUGUCUUGGUGUCCGUGCUACAGCUGGCUACAAAUCUAUAGCCCGCUGCUCUUCUCUCUUCUCUUUUAUCUCCUUAAAAUAUAUUUAUAGCUGAUUUAUAGCCUGCUACUGUACCUGCUCUUACUGUCUUUUGUUUUUUUACCACUCUAAUUCUCUAAAAUUACUCCUUUGAUAAUAUCACCCGCCAUCAGGAUCGCGAUUUUUUUUUUCAAAUUUUGUGCCACUUUCUCGUUGAGUAGGAAGGGGAUGAACCCGUCGCUCCCCUUUGCCUGUCGCACAGCACGCGACCACCACCGAGGUCCGUCGCCGGCACCAGCUUUAUCUGGCCAAAAUAGUACUCCAUCCGUUUCAAAAUGUUUGACACAUUUGACUUUUUAGCACAUGUUUGACCGUUUGUUUUAUUAAAAUAAUUUUGUGAAAUAUGUAAAACUAUAUGUGUACAUGAAAGUAUAUUUAACAAUGAAUCAAAUGAUAUAAAAUGAAUAAAUAAUUACUUAAAUUUUUUGAAUAAGACGAAUGAUCAAACACGUACUAAAAAGUCAACGGUGUCAAACAUUUUGAAAUGGAGGGAGUAUUAGUAAGGCCUUUACAUUGGCUGCGGCUUCACUGUUCCGUUGUUGUGUUUCCAUCCGUGUUCCGUACCACGUGGAGGGCAUCGGUUUGUCGAUUCUUUUUGGUGGUGGGGUCGGCUUCUAUCUGCCGUGCAGAAUAUGACGCCGUCACUACUCCGUCAAAACAAACCGGGUACUAGUACUUUUCACUCCGCGCUGCACAACUUGGAAAACCACUGCAUCCUUAUCUCUUGUCCCCAAAUCAGAGAGUUCAUCUGAAGUUCUGCUCAUCUGCUACUCUCCUCAUCUUCCUCUUGGCCGCACGCAACCAUGGUUGCUCUCGCGUUGUCGGCGGCCGGGCUCGCCGGCUUGGCGUGGUCUGCACUCCGCAUACUCGUCGGCUUGGUGUAGUUCAAUGGUCAGUACCAAAUGUGGAACUCCCUUGCUGCUGGCAACUACUGUUUGCUAUGGUGAAGAAGUGAAGAAUUGAAGAUCGAAACUUUUUUCACCAUACAGCUGCAUUAAGGUAGUUUUAUUUGGUAAGUUCAUUUUUGCAAACACCUCUUGUGUUUUGAUGCUUCUAAAUUAUUAGGAUUUUUUUCACAUGAGCCAAACAACAUGUUUGGUGGGAACCAUAUAUUUGAUGCUAAUACAAGAGAAAGUACUAGUAUGAUUUGACAGCUUGAAUCGACAUGGGAAUUCAGAUUAAGAUCCAACCUUACAAGUUGUAAUGUGAUUGGAAAUUGGUAAAGGUGCUAAUUAAUAUGAAAAAAAAGGUGGGGAUUUUAAUUUAAAUGGGCAAACAUGCUAUAGGGAUAUGUAUCAAUUGUCUGUGCAGUCUCUUCAUGCUGCAUCCCUUGACUUUGUUCAGAAGUUCUGAAAUAACCAGAUGACUGAAGUAAUGAAGCACCUUCAACAUGAUAGUAGUCUGGCAUUUGCAUGUGAUUGUAGUUAGUGGGAAUCUCUGAACGACCCUGAAUCUGUAUAAGGCAAAUAAUAAUCAGUAGCACUAAUAAGAGAGUCUCUUUUGCCAAGUGUGUGUGUGUGUGUAUUUUGAAUCUACUGACCUGCAUCAUGGUGUAUGGCAGUGAUGGUGUUACCACCUCUGCUUGUACUGGACACUUUGAUGUGUUUGAAUCACUCUUUUUCUUUUUACUCCGUUGUGUUGCCUUGUCAAAACCACCAAUUGGUCUCCUCGACCCACGAAUGGCUUUCUCCUUAACCUUUAUGCCUCUUGCUUUACUCGGGCCAACAUUUUCCUCUGUGCCUAUGAUAAAAUAUUUUUGAGAUAGCUGAUUUAGAUUAUAACAUAGUAGUCACUAGCAUAAGUACUAUUCAACUCAGAGUAGCAUACAAACCAGAUUUAUCCAAAUCUGGAUCAUGCCUUAUACUCAAGUAUUUCUCCACAUCUUCUGCUAACUUUUGUGCAUUGUUGGCAGCCAUUAAGUAUGUUUCAUCAGAUUCUGCAGCUCAAGAUGCUAUUUUAACAAACAUUCUGCACAAGUCUCUCCUGCGCGUUGAUAACUUUAUUUUAGGAUCUUCAUGAGUACUACAGUUGCUCUUUAUAUGUAGAGAUUUUGCAUCAAUGGUCCAUCUUUGUAGUAUGUAUUGCUUAUGAAUUUCUUUUAUAUUGUUAACAUCAAGUAUCUUCAAUGCAUGGCAACAUAGGAUUCCGAGAAAUUCAAACUUCUUGCAGCUGCACCUGACUUUACCUUCUGUUGGAGAAAAUUUUACAACAUGCUCAUGGUGCUUACCGUGAACUUUUAAUUUGUACACCAUUUCAGCAUCAAUAUCACCACAGUAGUAUAGGUCACAGUUCAAUGUUUGCAACACUUGUUCCUGAAACACUUUAAAUAUUGUUGGAGUAUAAAUUCUUGUUGCUUGCCUUAAUAUUGUCAAAUCUGCUUUCGGCCAUGGUGUACUUUAUGUUGUCUUAAAGUCAUUUUUGACUUCCUCAUAUCUUUUGUCUGACAACAACCUGUCAAAGUGUUCCAAGAAGGUAAGUAUGUCAUAUUUCACACUGAUAUAGCCCUUCAAUUCAUUGUUCAUGCUCUCACUUCUCUGUGUUCCACUCAUAUCAGUAGAAAAUGUGUUUCUCCCAUACACUAAUGCCCAUUGCUCUUUUUUUUUUGAAAUAGCCUCUCAAGCCAUUUGUUCUCCUGCAGAUCAUACUUUUCAAGCAUUCUAUUCCAUGCAUUUAUAAAUUCAUCUUCCUCCUCUUUGUCAUAAAUACAAUUCUGAAAAUCUUCAUUGAAUUUCUUGUACUCCUUCACAACUCCAGCAAGGUGUUUGCAGGCAUUCUGGUUCAUAUGCCAAACACAAAUUCUAUGAUGACUUUCUGGCAUGACUAACUUGAUUGCUUUGGCCAUUGCUGCGUCUUCAUCAGUCAAUAUAGUCUGUGGCUUCUUUCCAGACAUGGCUUUUAAAAAUGUCUUGAAAAGCCAAACAAAACUAUCAGCAGUUUCAUCAUACAAAAGUGCAGCACCAAAAACAACGCUUUUCUUAUGAUUAUCCACACCAACAAGCAAACCAAAUGGACGACCAUCAUUUAGUUUUCUAUAUGUUGUGUCAAAACAAAGAACAUCACCAAAAACUUCAUAAUCAGCAAUCAUUUUAGAAUCAGUCCAGAAAAUAUUUGUUAUCAAGUCAUCCUCAUCAACUAGAAUGGAAUAGAAAAAAUUAACAUCUUCCGAUGAUUUUUUCUCCAUAUAUUCCAAGACUCCCCCUGUGUCACCUUCGUUUACCUUCAAUGACCUCUUUGAAUAUAAUCUAUUCUUCAUGUCUUCACGAGUAAAUCCAAGAUUCUCAUAUCCACCCGCUUCUUUUGCCAUUAAAUCAAUAGUAGCCUUAUUAGAAAUGCCUACUGAUUUUGCAUUUUCAGCACUUGCCAUCUGUGCUUCAGUUAUUUUCCUUUGAGAUCUUAAGUAGAGGGCCUGACUUCCAGUAGCAAGAAUGUGGUUAUGCUCGUGCAAGAAUUCAUAUAUGCAAUACAAUCCAUCAUCCCUAAGACUUAUUUUCAUGCAUGCUCGGCACAUACAUCGUGUUUCUGGCCUACUAAAACACUGACCGUAAUUUGAAAUUUGGUCUUCUCUUUUAUCAUGACCACGAGUACCUAUUGUUAAAUAAAACUAACUCAGUAUAUGAAUUCUAUAUGAACACUAAACAUUGUAAAUAUAAGUUGGAACUAGUACCUGCACGAGAACAACAAAAUGUCCGAUUCUUUAUUAUGGUGGAAUCUUUCACAUAAUGGUAACUGCUUCUUCGAAUGCUAAAACCCAUGUCUCGAGCAUAGGCAUUAUAGAAAUCAUAUGCCUCUUGUUCACUGUUGAAUUUCAUACCGAUGAUUGGUGCCUUCCCUUUGGAGGGAUCUGCUUGUGGAGUAGCUUCAAUUUUACUAGGAUCUUGAUUAAUAUACCCGUUUUUUAUCUGAGACAAAUUAGAAAAAAAGAAAAACUUUCAUGAAACUUACAGAAAAAAAAGGGCUAAUAGAAAAGAAGCAAAACUUCUAUGAGAUUUACUGAUAUGAUGUGCUUGUAGUGAUCAAGUCUCAAUGAUUACUAAUAAAAGAAAGUGAAAACAUUAUGAAGUCUUACCGUCUCUAAUUCCCCUUCUAGGUUACCAUGAAAGCUUGUCCCUGGAUGAUGCAGUACAAACGUUCCAGCAGAGGCAGCUGGUUCCGUCGGCAUGGUUGUCACUUGUUCAUGCAGUGAAUCGGUGACCUUGAUUGACCUUGGAAGAUUAGAUAGAGAGGCCAUUGUUGUUGCGAAGAAGAUGAUUGUGAUCCGAUAAUAAUGUGCCAUAUGUAAAGCUUAAUCUAUUUUCUGAAAAACUGUCUAAUGGUUUGGCGUCUUAAUUUUUAUUUGGCGCCUUUGUUUCCCUGGAGGGCCACGCUAAUUAGGAUUAAUCGCUAACUGCGUAAUCUGGUGAUUGACGGAGAGAAUAAUCCUGUAAUCUCCGUUUAUGGUGGGGCCACACAAAAAGAAUCGACAAACGGAUGCCCUCCACGUGGUACGAAACACGGAUAGAAACACAACAACGGAACAGUGAAGCCGCAGCCCUUUACAUUGGCCAGGAUUUCCACGCACGUGCCGAAAGUGUCCAAAUGGCAUCGACCGAGACCACAGGGAACAAAGCCACCGGCGAACGACUCCACGCCGGAGUUUGACUCCCUCGCUGGACACAGUCUGGUCCCGUGCAGCACGCAUGACAGUAUCCAGUAUUUCAACACAACAAUCUAUUCGAAUUAUCGAGCUGGAAAACUGAUUAGAAAAAAAAGAAGUACAGAAAACGAGAAUGAGACAGGAGGAUAGAUAGGCCAACGAGGAUAGAAGCUGCUGAACUGAGGCAGUAUGAGGCUGGCAGCAAGUUUCAUUGUCGCUUGCAUCACUGUCUAUCCGUUUAGAGUAUAGACACUCUCUCCACAAUUCCACAUUAUCAGGGUUUGAUAUUUCGGACUGAAAUUUCGAUCAUUUUGCGGACCCCUCCGAUACGAUAUUAUUUGGGCCAAAAUUUUGAUUUUUUUAAUUUUUUAUGAAUUUCGGUAAUAUUUGUUCAAAUUUGACUAAAUUUUGUUCUAAAAUUUGGAAAUUUCAGAAAUUUCGUUAUAUUGGUACUGCCCGAUACAAAGGCCGAAAACGAGAAAGUGAACCCUGAUCAUGACUCGUGAGACUAACCUGAGUUGUUCUCUGAAUUAGUCCAACUGUCCAAGACAAUGAAACUUGCUGCUUCUGUGAUCACUGAUCAGUCAUCAGUCUGUGUACAAUUUCCUGCGUUCAUAAUAUAUAACAGAAUAAGGCAGGUGGAAAAAUGCUGGCCAUAUCAAGGCAACAGGCUGGCAUGGACCGACGAAAACAACACUGGUAACAGGAUAUGAAUGGGCAUGCAGGAAUGGUGCAAAUUUAUGUCCGCUCCUGGAGCUUUUAUAUGUGUGCCGAGCAAGCAUAUAUACAUCUGCAGUACAAUUGGAGCAUCAACCCAAGACAGCAGCAAAAUGAUGAUAUCCACCAAGCAACGCCUCCUCACUCCCAUUCUCAUUCUCCUCAUUUGUUGUUACUCCAUAGUCACUGCAGCCAACAAUGACACAACCGUCCCUUGUCUCCCAGAGCAAGCUUCUUCCCUCCUACAGCUCAAAAAUUCCUUCAUCAAUAAUGCAAACUUAUCGUCAUGGCGAGCUGGAUCGGACUGCUGCCACUGGGAGGGCAUCACAUGUGGUAUGGCCUCCGGCAGGGUCAUUUCCCUUGACCUCAGUGAGUUGAACUUGAUGAGCAAUCGUCUCGAUGCUGCACUCUUUAACCUCACCUCUCUUACAAACCUUAACCUUGCUUCCAAUUACUUUUGGAGAGCCGAACUCCCAGUAUCUGGGUUUGAGAGGCUCACAGAUAUGAUCCACCUCAACUUCUCACACAGCAACUUUUAUGGUCAGAUCCCCAUUGGACUUGCUUGCCUCAUGAAACUUGUCACUCUUGACUUUUCUAGUAAUGAUGGGUUGUAUUUCGAUGAACCAAGUUUCCAAACCGUCAUGGCAAACAUGAGCAACCUGAGGGAGCUCCAUCUUGAUGAGAUAGAAAUUUUCGGAUCAACUUGGUCAGUUGUUUUAGCAGACAACAUUCCUCAACUCGAGAUUCUUAGCUUGUUUGCGUGCCGUAUAUCUGGUCCUAUUCACUCUUCCUUCUCAAGGCUUCGUUCCUUAAAGGUGAUCAACCUUGGAUACAAUUUUGGACUCCCCAGCAAAGUUCCUGAGUUCUGUGCUGAAUUAUCUUCUUUGAGCAUUCUUGAAAUUGCAGGCAAUUCUUUUGAAGGGCAGUUCCCAACAAAAAUCUUCCACCUAAAAAGUUUGAGAACGCUUGAUUUGUCUCAUAACCCCAAUCUUUCUAUUAACCUACCAGAAUUCCCUGAUGGAAAUAAUCUAGAAACACUAGGUCUAGCAGCAACCAAUUUAUCUUAUCACAUACCGUCCUCAUUUGCCAAUCUCAAGUCCUUGAAGCGUUUGGGUAUGAGCACGGCACGAACUUCCAAGGAGCUGCCCUCUUUAUUAGAUAAGCUUCCUUCAUUGACAGAACUGGAAUUGCAAGGAUCGGAAUCAGGCUUGGAGAAGGCGGUAUUAUCUUGGGUAGGCAACCUUAAGCAGCUGACUGCUUUGGAGCUUGUAUCGUACGAUUUCUCUGAAUCGGCACCCUCCUGGAUAGGCAAUUUGACGAAUUUGAAGUUUUUGUGGAUCUGGGACUGCAAUUUCUCUGGGUCAAUAAUACCAUAUCAGAUUGGCAAUCUUGCAAAAUUGGAGACCUUGGACUUUAGAGGGUGCGAGUUCUUUGGACAGCAAAUACCACCGUGGAUCGGUAAUUUUACGAAGUUGGCAAAUUUAGAGAUGGAUAGUUGUGGCUUCUCUGGGUCGAUACCCUCAACAAUAGGGAAUCUGACCCAACUGGAAAGUCUGCGGAUCACAUCUAAUCCCCAACUCAACGGUAAGUCUUUAUACGACGGCUACUUCUUCCUUCAUACAUAUGCAAUUUAAAAUAUCAUCAUAAAAUAAAUUUAUUCAAAAUGCCACCAAGCGAGUGCUGUCGAACACUCAAAAGCUUAAGUAGUAAUAUAUAUAUUUCUGUAUUUUGAUUUGGAACGUGAAAACACACAUAGUAGAUAACAUGAUAGACUGGUAGUGGUGGAGCAAGUUCCACGUUCUGUUUGAUAAUUGUGGCUCGCAUCUAGAUAUUAACAUCCACCUACAGUAAAUCAAUGGCGUCUAUUUUCAAAAACUUACAACAUUUUCCUAUCUACAACUAAUCUAGGAGCUUAGAAAUCUAUUGCUACUAAAAUAUUAUAAUAGAAUGCUAAAAGGAGUAACAUGUUUGUUUUGAGAGCCUAGAAGUUACCAUGUUAAUUGGUGAAAAAAAGAGAAUAAUGCACACGGAUUAAUCGGAACGGGUCCAUAUUAUAUUAUAACAACUAGCAUGGUGCCCCGCACAAAUUGCGCGGCUAGCAUUCUUAUAUUAUAGUAGCAUAUAUUUUUUUUCUUAUUUUUUAUUAAAAUAUCAUAAAUAACAAGAUAAUUUAAAAUUGUACUAACUUGAAUAAACUAUCAAUGUGCAAUAUUCAUAUUAUGUUGUAUAUAUGUGAUAGGUAUUAAUUAUUUUUUUAAUACCGAAUUUUAGUUAUUUCUAAAUUAUAUUGCUAGAUGGACUCUAGACUCCUCUUCCAACAUUCUUUAAUUUUUUUUAAUUAUGAAUUUCUAUAAUUUAUAAAUUGUGUUCCUAUAUUUUUAUUUUAAAUUCAAAUUUUUAGUUAUUUCUAAAUUAUACUCCUAUAUGAACUCUAGACUCCUCUUCCAAUAUUUCAUAUUUUUCAAUUCCGAAUUUCCGUUAUUUAUAAAUUGUGUUUCUAUAUGGACUGUAGACUAUAAUUAUAAUAUUGCUUUUUUAAAAAAAAUGAACUUUUCAUUAUUUCUAAUUUAAUUUCUAUAUAGACUCUAAACUCAUCUUUCGAUAUUAUUUAUUUUUUAAUUUCAAAUUUCAGUUACUUCGGAAUUGUAUUCCUAUAUGGACUCUAGACUAUUGUUCCAAAUUUUAUUUUCUAAUUUCUAAUUUUAGUUAUUUGUAAAUUGUAUUUCCAUAAUUACUCUAAACUCUACUUUUAAUUUUAUUAUUUUUAUUCUGAAUUUUAAUUAAUUCUAAAUUCCUAUAUAGACUUUAUACUCUUCUUCCAAUAUUCCUUAUUUUAAUUCCUAAUUUUUAUUAUUUCUAAAUUUUAUUUCUAUAUAGACUCUAAACUUAUCUUUCAAUAUUUCUUUUUUUUAAUUCUGAAUUUUAAUUAUUUUUAAAUUAUAUUUCUAUAUGGACUCUAUAUUCUUCUUUCAAUAUUCCUUUUUUUAAAUUUCGAUUUUUCGUUAUUUCUAAAUUUUAUUUUCUAUAUGAACUCUAACCUCUAUUUUUAUUUUUCUUAUUUUUUAAUUCCGAAUUUCCAUUAAUUCUAUUGUAUACUGGUUGUAUACUGGUACAGACCCUAGUCUUCUCGUCCUAUAUUCCUUAUUUCUAAUUCUGAAUUUCAGCUAUUUUUAAAUUGUAUUUCUAUAUGAACUCUGUCUAUUUCUUUCUAUCCUAUUAAUAUAAGAAUUUUUAGACCAUGAGAGUGAAUUUUUUUUAUUUCAAAUUUUCGUUAUUUCUAAAUUGUAUUUCUAUAUGAACUCUAACCUCUACUUUUAUUUUUUUUCUUAUUUUUUUAAUUCCGAACUUCCAUUAGUUCUAUUGUAUAAUGGUAUGGACUCUAGUCUUCUCUUACUACAUUCCUUCUUUUUAAUUCUGAAUUUCAGCUAUUUUUAAAUUUUAUCUUCUCUACUUUUAUUUUUAAAUUUUAUUCCUGUAUGGACUCUUUUUUUCCUAUUUCUUCGAUUAAUAUGAGAAUUUCUAGGCCAUAAGAGCGAAUAUGGAGCCUUCUUUUUUAUUUAUUUAAUAAGUUAAAGGGAAGAUGCUUAUUGGUCCAUGGUUUUAUUAUAUAAAAGGGAAAAGCUAAACGUAUGAACAAUUUGUUACCAACUUUUUUACAAACGUUGAUGUGACACAUCCACUACUGCAAAAUUGAUUUUUGGACGAGACCCCCUCCAAGUUGUAGGUGGACCAUAACUACUUUCGCCUGUAAAAAUUGCUCCUUUGAGUACGGUUCAAGGGUCGCAUGCAAAAAUAUAUUUUGCAGAUGACCCUUAAGAGGCCUGCCUGCAAUGUUGCACCUUAAGGGGUCUCUUACGAAAAUAGAUUUUCGCAAGUGAGCAACAUGGAGAGCAAGUGGGCCACACGCGUCACCGCACUACAUUUUUUCAUAUUUUUUUCUCCUCUCCACUCACGCACACUACUUAUUUUCUCUUCUCUCCUUGGCUCCACCUCCCAUCACUCCUCUCCUACUCCCUCUCCUCAUCUCUUUCCCAUUCCCUCCCUUCUCUUCUUCAGCGACUGAGAUGGAGGCGACAGUAGGCUCACUCAGGUGCGAUGUUGACGCGCGUGACGACAGUGCCGGCGACAGCAAAUACAGCAACGACCUCGAGGGCAGCUGAUCCGGUGGCGCCGCCCUAGGCCCCGGGAGGGGCGACGACAAUGGCGGGCGGUGGAUCCGACAGCGCCGUCCUCGAGGGGCAACGACGAGCUCAAAGAGGAUGGGAAGCUAGAGUUUUGGCCGAAAUUGUUUUUGUGGAACUUUUAUUUGUUUUCUCCAAAAUCAUUUUCGCAGCGGUUGGCAUAGGUGACCACGUGAACAUCAUGUUUUUGCAUGCGGUUACUCAACAUGCAUGGGAAAAUGUUGAUUUUCGCAUAUACCUAGGUUCAGGCGGGCCGUCUAGCUGCCUGCGAAAAUUGAUUUUGAUCACAUGCAAAAAAUGAUUUUGUAGUAGUGAUCAUGGUUAAAUCUUUAUUAGUGCCUUCCAAGUAACUAAAUCAAACUUUGUUAGUAGAAUUUUAUAAAAAAUGUUUUAGUAUCUCUAGCAAACAAUUAUAUAUAUAGAACCAAAAGCAAUGCUUCUUUUUAUCAAAUACAAUAUUUUAAAUAAAUGUUAAUGUAACCAUGUGCAAUAUUACGGAAAAUCAGCUUAGUUUGGUUAACUCGGACGAAUGAGUUGUCUUGGUUCAAGUGCGUCCUAAGGUACCAGACUGUCAGUUCAGUGAACAUUCAUCUUUGAACUUUUUGACUAGUAUACUGCACUUGCAUGCAGGGAAAAUUCCACAAUCGUUGUUCGCUCUUCCGAGGCUGGAAAAUGUUUACCUUCAAGAAAACCAGCUUUCUGGUUCACUAGAAGACAUUCCUUACCCUUUAACUUCAUCUCUGUUAUGUAUUGACUUAGCCAACAAUCAACUAUCAGGCCCGAUACCCAACUCACUUUUUCAUCUUACAAAUCUUAAUUAUCUCAUUCUUGAAUCAAAUAAAUUCACAGGCACAGUUGAACUUAGCUCUGUCUGGAAGCAGAAGAAUCUAUUUAUCCUAAGCCUGUCAAACAAUUUGAUAUCACUCAUAGAUGAUGAAGGUUAAACAGUGCCUCCUUAUCUUCCUAACAUCAAGUACUUAUACCUGUCAUCUUGCAACCUUACAAAAAUUCCAGGCACAUUAAAAUAUCUUGAUGCGGUUUCCCUUCUUGACCUUUCGAGUAAUCAAAUAACGGGGGCUAUACCAAAUUGGAUAUGGGAGAAUUGGAAGGGCCACCUUAAUAUUUUGAACCUCUCGUGCAACAUGUUAACUACUUUGGAACAAUCUCCUUCUCUUGUUAAUAUGUCCAAUUUAGCUUAUCUUGAUCUCAGUUUCAAUAGACUUCAAGGAAGCAUACCAAUACCAGUAACCACAUCCAGUGAGAUCGCAUUGGACUACUCAAACAACCACUUCUCUUCAAUAGUACCGAACUUUGGCAUAUAUCUUGAAAACGCCAGCUAUAUUAAUUUCUCCAAUAAUAAACUAAGUGGCAAUGUACCAUCUUCGAUUUGUAAUGCAAGCAAAGCCAUUAUCACGGACUUAUCUGGCAACAACUACAGUGGAUCAGUACCAGCAUGUCUUACAGGAAGUGUAAACUUAAGCGUAUUGAAAUUGAGAGACAACCAAUUCCAUGGGGUGUUACCUAACAAUAGUAGAGAGGGGUGCAAUCUUCAGUCAAUAGAUGUGAAUGGAAACCAAAUUGAAGGUAAACUACCUAGAUCACUAUCAUACUGCCAAUAUUUGGAGCUCCUGGAUGCUGGAAAUAAUCAGAUUGUUGAUUCUUUUCCAUUUUGGUUGGGUAAACUUCCAAAUCUCCGAGUCCUUGUCUUAAGAUCCAACAAACUCAAUGGCACAAUAAGGGGUCUUAAAG